UACGUAGGGUGCAAGCGUUAAUCGGAAUUACUGGGCGUAAAGCGUGCGCAGGCGGUUCUCUAAGUCAGAUGUGAAAUCCCCGGGCUCAACCUGGGAACUGCAUUUGUGACUGCAUGGCUAGAGUACGGUAGAGGGGGAUGGAAUUCCGCGUGUAGCAGUGAAAUGCGUAGAUAUGCGGAGGAACACCGAUGGCGAAGGCAAUCCCCUGGACCGGUACUGACGCUCAUGCACGAAAGCGUGGGGAGCAAACAGG
rnacentral:rRNA from 1 species